ACCACUACUCUUAAACCCUCGAGCGGGAGUUGUAACCUGAAAUUGUCAACAGAAUAAACGAGAAAGAGCAAAGUGCGUGAUGCGGUUCGAAUGCAUCUGAAAAUCUAAAAUGCAUUUAUGUCAGAAAACCCUAACUAAGGUGGGCUUUACCCACUUUAGAUACAAGCUGGCCUAAGUCACAUAUAAAUUAUUAGAAGGAUGCAAUUUUUUAUUAGCAUGGCGCUAUCCACCAAAUGAAUAACAGGUAAGGGACCGCCAGCCUCGUUGUGUAGGGUUAAACGUCAGACAGACCUGUGGGUCUUCAGACAUCAACCUCGCAAUUUCAAAGGCAACAUGCGGCCCUGCCCACACCCUGAGAAACUCAGUGCUGUCACCAGAGCCAUGACAUUUCAGGGGAAUUCAGAAAGUGUCUCGCUGCUCCUCCGCUGUGGUCACUGAGCCCAUUAAGCCAGGCGCCUGUCUGGCAGGGAUUGUGUGGUUAGGGCCAUGCUGUCAUGUCAGCCAUUAUGCGACUCCACAAUGAGAUUAAUUGACUGUCACAGCCGUUGGUGACACCACGUGGCGAGGGGAGAGAAUUGUUUGUCCCCCAGAUUAUCUGGCCAUAAUUGACGAACACUUCAGGGCACUUUGGGGAUUGGAUAAUACAGUCCAGAGUAGCAGGGGCAGGAUUUCCAAGGUGUUUUUAUUAUGUUUUUUCCUCGUUCCAUAUCCCUGCAGAACCAUCCAUGUCAAUGUACUGUAUGCUGCAUUUAGCCAUGGCUGUGACCCAAAGCGCAGCUGAAAAAGCGCAAAAAACACAGAUAAAAGCAGAGAUGAUUCCCAUUGUUGCUGAAGUGAAGGAUCUUAAGGAAAGAGGGAAGGUGUCAUCAUUCUGUGUCCCUAUGGUAAUAUAUAUGAGAUGAGCCCUGUCUUGUUUGAAAUAGCUAUCAAGUAUAAAAUGAAAUAUGAUGAGUUAACAAUGGCAACAAUGAAACUAUGACAAUGUAGAAUAUGUUGUUUAGUUAAUAUAGUUCAAACAUAUUUAAGUUCAGCUGCAGUGGAUAAAACGUGCUUUAAUCUGCUCCAGAUUGUUUAGUUAGGGUAGAUGGGUAGGUCGGUAGGUAAAAUAUUGAAAGAGUUCUACACAUAAAUUCCUCAGAAAAUCUGGUCAGGUUUUCAAAUGAAAUUAAUUUAUAUUAAUUUGUUUUUGACAAUGACAUUUCAAAAGGUCAUGCAUGUCAUUAAUUGCCAAUUAGUUCAGUCAGGUUUUAUGAAAUUAAUUUUUUAUGAAUUGUGUAUAACAGAGAGCAUAUUAAACACCAGGAGGUAUCCAAAUAUGUUGUCAAAUUUCGUGAACAACAAAACCAUUUUAUCGUGGAAGUAAGAAUGAAGUGCUUACGAAUUAAAAUCCCUGUGUUUCUGUACUUAAAAUAAAGACGCUGUACAUUCUGAAACAAAGGUUUUCUAGUAAGCCUAAUGUUUAUCAGCUGUAAAAUCUUCAUUAUUCCAGCCCAAUUCCAUGAAGGACAUG